GACGAACGCUGGCGGCGUGCUUAACACAUGCCAGUCGAACGGUAAGGCCCCAGCUUGCUGGUGUACACGAGUUGCGAACGGGUGAGUAACACGUGGGUAACCUGCCCCGCACUUCGGGAUAAGCCUGGGAAACUGUGUCUAAUACCGGAUAGUACCGCACCGUGCGUGUGUGUUGGAAAGUUUUUCGGUGUGGGAUGGGCCCGCGGCCUAUCAGCUUGUUGGUGGGGUAAUGGACUAUCAAGGCGGCGACGGGUAGCCGGACUGAGAGGGUGGACGGCCACAGAGGGACUGAGGAACGGCCAAGACGCAUACGGGAGGAAGCAGUGGGGAAUAUUGCAAAAUGGGCGGAAGCAUGAAGCAGCGACGCCGCGUGGGGGAUGACGGCCUUAGGGGUGGAAACUCCUUUCGCCAGCGAAGAAGGUUUUCUGACGGUAGAUUGAGAAGAAGCACCGGCUAACUACGUG
rnacentral:rRNA from 1 species